rnacentral:rRNA from 1 species
GACGUAGGGUGCAAGCGUUGUCCGGAAUUACUGGGCGUAAAGCGCACGUAGGCGGCUAUUCAAGUCGGGGGUGAAAGCCCGGGGCUCAACCCCGGAACUGCCCUCGAAACUAGAUAGCUAGAAUCUUGGAGAGGCGAGUGGAAUUCCGAGUGUAGAGGUGAAAUUCGUAGAUAUUCGGAAGAACACCCGUGGCGAAGGCGGCUCUCUGGGACGGUACUGACGCUGAGACGCGAAAGCGUGGGGAGCGAACAGG